rnacentral:rRNA from 1 species
UCAGGCCUAACACAUGCAAGUCGAACGAACCCUUCGGGGUUAGUGGCGCACGGGUGCGUAACGCGUGGGGAUCUGCCCUUUGCUUCGGAAUAACAGUUAGAAAUGACUGCUAAUACCGGAUGAUGUCGCAAGACCAAAGAUUUAUCGGCAAAGGAUGAACCCGCGUAGGAUUAGCUAGUUGGUGGGGUAAAGGCCUACCAAGGCGACGAUCCUUAGCUGGUCUGAGAGGAUGAUCAGCCACACUGGGACUGAGACACGGCCCAGACUCCUACGGGAGGCAGCAGUGGGGAAUAUUGGACAAUGGGCGAAAGCCUGAUCCAGCAAUGCCGCGGAGAGAUGAAGGCCUUCGGGUUGUAAAGCUCUUUACCAGGGAUGAUA